GUGAAUCAUCGAAUUUUUGAACGCAAAUUGCACUCUCUUCUGAGAGUAUGCCUGUUUGAGGGUCAGUAUUAAUAAAAAAUCGGUUUGGUUGCAAAUUGUGACGUUUCCGGAGGUUGGGCUUAUCUUAACUUUUUUGGUUAAGGGACUUAAAAUUGACCUUUUUUGCGCAUUUUUAGACGUACAUAAAUUUUUUUUUAUUCGUCUGUCUUAAUGCUUAAUAUCCUAUUAGAUGCGUCCAUAUUGGUUGGUUUCGUGUCUAUA
rnacentral:misc_RNA from 1 species